rnacentral:rRNA from 1 species
ACGGAGGGUCCGAGCGUUAUCCGGAAUUAUUGGGUUUAAAGGGUCCGUAGGCGGGCCGGUAAGUCAGGGGUGAAAGUCUGUAGCUCAACUAUAGAAUUGCCUUUGAUACUGCUGGUCUUGAGUUAUGGUGAAGUUGCCGGAAUAUGUAGUGUAGCGGUGAAAUGCAUAGAUAUUACAUAGAACACCGAUUGCGAAGGCAGGUGACUAACCAUAUACUGACGCUGAUGGACGAAAGCGUGGGGAGCGAACAGG